CAGCAAUGCACUGCAAGAUGCUGCCUCUCCAGCUCCUGGCUCAUCCUCUAAGACUCAUGUUAUAAUUGCAAGGCACUGACUCAUUGAGGAGCUGUGAGGAGAUGGGAUGGAAAUCCAUAGCUGAGACUUCUUAGACCUGCCCUGGUCUCUACCUCUGGAACUCUGGACUGCCAGCAGGGGCCCAGGCCAGCAGCAGCCUGCAGGAUAUUGUAGUGGAUUUUGCUGAGAUCUUUGCAGCUUCCACCAAGAAGUUCAGUAACAUCAUCCAUCCUGAACCUUGCAGGGCACCCAACUCAUCAUCCUGCUCUGCAGGGCAUGCAGGCUGAGCUGGCUGGGGCUUGAGGAACGGAAAUGCAAAUGUCUGGAUGAGAAGAUGACAGUGGAAAGGAUGAGAAACUGUAGUGUGAACCAGUUUCCUGGAGUGAGAUGAUCACAUCCUGCCUGUUGCAGCAAGUAGCCUGCAAGGAGAGGAGGA